GAGUCAUCCAGGCAGGAGCAGUUCUAGGAAGCUGGGUCUGGAGACACUGGAGAGUUCUGGAGGCUCACAUAGGUCUUGGGAGAAAUGUGCGCAAGCAGAAGUCUGUGUCGUGAUGCUACAUGGGGCUCUUGCAAUGAAGAUCCUCAGGAUCUGUGGAGGACACUUUGGCCCAUAGUGGACCAUGAAUAUGAUGAUGUCAGGGCAUAACUGCCUUUGUUUGAGAAGUCAACUCUUGGACUUAUGGACUGGGAUGAGUUCACCUAACGCUCCAGUUCUCAGAAUCUCUUCCGCUCAGUCCUUGUACAGAUAAGGAUGCCAUCUUGACCAGCCAUAUACCACAGAGGGGCUCCGAAACACAGAGGUCCUUGUGUUUCCUUGGGCUCCAGGGUGUAGACCUGGGGCUGAUGUAGAGCCUGAACCAAGACCUGACCUUGCUCACAGGACUGCCUUACCCUGUCUAGGAGCAGGUCAGAAGCCUUGGCUCUGUACAGGAUGAGAAGUUUCUCCUUCACGUUUCAUUUCAUCCUCCCUCCUUCCAGGAAGUCCUGACCUCCCUUCCCCUCCCCCUUCCUCUUCCCCUUCCUCCCCUUCUCUCUCCUCCUUUCCUUUCCU